AUUGAACGCUGGCGGCAUGCCCUACACAUGCAAGUCGAACGGCAGCACGGGAGCAAUCCUGGUGGCGAGUGGCGAACGGGUGAGUAAUACAUCGGAACGUGCCCAAUCGUGGGGGAUAACGCAGCGAAAGCUGUGCUAAUACCGCAUACGAUCUACGGAUGAAAGCAGGGGACCGCAAGGCCUUGCGCGAAUGGAGCGGCCGAUGGCAGAUUAGGUAGUUGGUGGGGUAAAGGCUCACCAAGCCAACGAUCUGUAGCUGGUCUGAGAGGACGACCAGCCACACUGGGACUGAGACACGGCCCAGACUCCUACGGGAGGCAGCAGUGGGGAAUUUUGGACAAUGGGCGCAAGCCUGAUCCAGCCAUGCCGCGUGCAGGAUGAAGGCCUUCGGGUUGUAAACUGCUUUUGUACGGAACGAAACGGCCUUUUCUAAUAAAGAGGGCUAAUGACGGUACCGUAAGAAUAAGCACCGGCUAACUACGUG
rnacentral:rRNA from 1 species